rnacentral:rRNA from 1 species
UACGUAGGGUGCAAGCGUUAAUCGGAAUUACUGGGCGUAAAGCGUGCGCAGGCGGUUUUGUAAGUCUGACGUGAAAUCCCCGGGCUCAACCUGGGAAUUGCGUUGGAGACUGCAAGGCUGGAGUCUGGCAGAGGGGGGUAGAAUUCCACGUGUAGCAGUGAAAUGCGUAGAGAUGUGGAGGAACACCGAUGGCGAAGGCAGCCCCCUGGGACAAGACUGACGCUCAGGCACGAAAGCGUGGGGAGCAAACAGG